UACGUAGGGUGCGAGCGUUAAUCGGAAUUACUGGGCGUAAAGCGCGCGCAGGCGGUGAUGUAAGACCGAUGUGAAAUCCCCGGGCUUAACCUGGGAACUGCAUUGGUGACUGCAUUGCUGGAGUAUGGCAGAGGGGGGUGGAAUUCCACGUGUAGCAGUGAAAUGCGUAGAGAUGUGGAGGAACACCGAUGGCGAAGGCAGCCCCCUGGGCCAAUACUGACGCUCAUGCACGAAAGCGUGGGGAGCAAACAGG
rnacentral:rRNA from 1 species